UGGAGGAGGAGGAGGAGGAGGAGGAGGGGAGGGGGGAGGAAGGGGAAAGUGGGUGGGAGGAAGAACCCUUCUCGCGCUCGCUCGGUUUUCGCCCCCCCUUCCCCUCCCCUUUCAGAGAAACAAUAACUUGAAAUUGUCUUGAAAGUCUCUCUCUCUCUCUCUUUUUGUAUCAAUAAUAAAUUUCAUUUUUGAGCCUCACUUCCUCUCUCUCUCUCUCUCUCUCUCUGUCUCUCUCUCUCUCCCUCCUCAGCCUGCGAGUUUGUGUGAGAAAGAAGGGGGAAAGAGAGGUGAGCGGGCGGACGGGCGAGGGUGCGCGCGUGAGAGUGGCUGGAAGUGUGGGUUGCUCAACGCUCAGCUGUGGCACAGCGGUGCAGACUCAGCGACGGCUGCGCGAGGGUCUGCAACGGGGAAACACAGAUCGGAGAAAGGAAGUACACGAGGGGGAGGGGGGAGAGAGAGAGAGAGAGAGAUCGCCCGCGUUGCGCCUGCCCAGGCGAGCGGAGAGACAGGGGAAAGGGGCCAAGGUUGCCUGCUCGCUCGCCCGCCCGCACCGCAGGAGAGGCUGUCGCCUACCAACUCUGCCUCGGGGAGGAGAGAAAAAAAGCUAGAAAUGUUCUGCCGUAAAACAACUGGCCCGCCCCUGUCAUCAUCACAUUAUCCUUCAUAUCCCAGCAGCGGGAAACAGAGCUGGAAUUCGCCACUACAGCUAGAGCUGAAAUCACCUGGACGGGCAGCAGUGAGAACCAAAACGGCUCGAGGCUUCAGCUGAACCGCGCCCUGAUUAUUUGUGCGUGGAGCUUGAGCCCUCUCCCGUUCCCCCAAACCUCCCAGAAAUACUUCCGGCGCCAAGGUGAGAAAGACGGCCUGAAGAAAAGGCCUGGGCGAUCAAUCCAAGAGGACUGUUAACUAAGCAUCCCGAAAGCAUCACAUUGCAGACUUGAAGCCCACCCGCUCCAAAAGAAGCGCCGGCCCAGAUGUGUCGAGAUGUGCUACCCUAUCUGAUUGACGUUCAGGGUCCGCCAAGGAGACGCGAUAAUAAUCGCAUUUCACACUGAGAUUUAAUAAAAUAGAGUUUAGUCUCUGCA
rnacentral:lncRNA from 1 species